AUUGAACGCUGGCGGCAUGCUUUACACAUGCAAGUCGGACGAGUGGCGAACGGGUGAGUAACAUAUAGGAACGUCCCGAGUAAUGGGGGGUAACUAAUAGAAAGAUUAGCUAAUACCGCAUACUAUUCGAGCGGCCGAUCUGUGAUUAGCUGGUGGGUGGGGUAAAGGCUUACCAAUGCGACGAUCAGUAGCGGGUCUGAGAGGAGGAUCCGCCACUCUGUAACUGAGAUACGGCGCAGACUUGUACGGGAGGCAGCAGUGGGGAAUUUUGGACAAUGGCGGCAAGCCUGAUGCAGCCAUGCCGCGUGUCUGAAGAAGGCCUUCGGGUUGUAAAGGACUUUUGUCAGGGAAGCGGUACCUGUAGAAUAAGCACCGGCUAACUACGUGCCAGCAGCCGCGGUAAUAC
rnacentral:rRNA from 1 species